CCCACUCCCCCAAAUCUCUAGCCCGCGGCGGCGAUGCACCUCCCCCUCACCUGCAUCGGCGAUGCACCUCCCCCUCACCUGCGUUGGCGACUCAGCCGCGUCGCUGCCCUUCUUCCCAAGCGUCGCCUCCUCGCAUUCUCGUCCGUGUCGCCUCUUCCUCUCGCCCGCAUCCUCUGCAUCACGGUCGAGCCAAAGUUGGUUGUUUUAGCGAGGUCGAGUUGGAGCCUGACGAGCGCGGGCACGGCGGCCUUGUUCUGCUCGACGACGGCGGGGACGGACGCUGGCACUCCUCGUCGCCAUCGACCUGCAAGGAGGAGUGUCGUGUUGGACGCUGCCAUCCCAAAUGCUGCUGGUGCUCCAUCGCUUCUACGAGUUAUUCGUCACCUGCUCCUAGGUCGCCCCCGAAGUCGAGCUCCCCACGCUCGACCUGCAAGAUGUACUGUGGCCAAGAACUGCUCUCUGUCGCGUGAGUAGAUUGGAAAGGCAAGGCGCAAGGAGCGAUUGGAAAGGCUGCUGCUGCUCCUGGACGAUGCAACUCCUGAUGCCACUACCUCUUGUCGAUUCGGGCAUGAGCACAUUCUUGGAGUGGAUCUGCAAUUCAAAUAGUUUACAAGUGGGAGUACAUGGAGUACUACAGAUUAAAUCGAGGAGAAGAUGGUCCCUGCUCCGUGAUGAUGCCGCCAUUACCUACGACUUCCUCAACCACCACCACCACGACUUCGUCGAACAUGGUGGUAUCUUUCCGAUCAAGAUUUUGGAGUACAGAGAAAGAAGACUACGGUGGUACUACUCCUAGCAGGACAUACAUUAGUACAUGAAAAGAAGAACAGUUUAAGAACAUAGCAGAAACUGAACGAGGCAAUGCAUCAUGAACUGAACGAGAGAAAAGAGGGAAGAUGAACCUGAGGGAGGAAGUCGAUCGCAUGGUGAUAUACAAGAUCGCCGGCGUCUGCUAAACGGGAUCCCGGCGCCGUCUCCUGCAGCGAUCCUGAAGCAGAUCGUACGAUGGACGGGCGGCGGCUUUGAUGUGCGAGGGCGACGACGAAGGUUAGGAUCGGCCGCGGCACGGGGAUGGAUCGGCCGUGGCACAGGUAUGGAUCGGCUGCGACGGGGGCGAAGGGGUGGAUCGGGUGUGCGAAGGGCUGGUUGGCGGCGGAGAACG